GGUUAUGGAAUAAAUAUUUAUGGAAAUGAGUCCGAAAGUUAUCCACAAGCACCUCCACGUAAUAAAAAACAGGCAACAUCGAUGAUUACAGAGAUCAAAACGCAAGAAACAUCCUCAUCCGAAAAAUCGUUGAGUACUGAGCGCCAAUUAUUUCUGGCAUAUCCUAAAUCAGAGAUGAGUACUGGUUAUGGAAUAAAUAUUUAUGGAAAUGAGUCCGAAAGUUAUCCACAAGCACCUCCACGUAAUAAAAAACAGGCAACAUCGAUGAUUACAGAGAUCAAAACGCAAGAAACAUCCUCAUCCGAAAAAUCGUUGAGUACUGAGCGCCAAUUAUUUCUGGCAUAUCCUAAAUCAGAGAUGAGGGUAUAAUUAAGUUCCCAUAGUAAGCCCACACUGC
rnacentral:sRNA from 1 species